rnacentral:rRNA from 1 species
UAGGGAAUAUUAGUAAUGGGCGAAAGCCUGAACUAGCAACGCCGCGUGUGCGAAGAAGGUCUUCGGGUUGUAAAGCACUUUUUGAGAGGAUGAGGAAGGACGGUACUCUCAGAAUACGUCUCGGCUAACUACGUGCCAGCAGCCGCGGUAACACGUAGGAGGCGAACGUUGUCCGGAUUUACUGGGCGUAAAGUGCGUGUAGGUGGUGUGGUAAGUAGGGCGUGAAAGCUCCUGGCUCAGCUGGGAGAGGCCGUUCUAAACUGCCGAACUAGAGGAUGGUAGAGGGAGGUGGAAUUCCGGGUGUAGCGGUGGGAUGCGCAGAUAUCCGGAGGAACACCAGUGGCGAAAGCGGCCUCCUGGACCAUUCCUGACACUCAGACGCGAAAGCUAGGGUAGCAAACGG